rnacentral:rRNA from 1 species
AUAGAUACCCGGGUAGUCCACGCCGUAAACGAUGGGUACUAGGUGUGGGAGUCGUCAUGACUUCCGUGCCGCCGUUAACACAAUAAGUACCCCGCCUGGGGAGUACGGUCGCAAGAUUAAAACUCAAAGGAAUUGACGGGGGCCCGCACAAGCAGCGGAGCAUGUGGUUUAAUUCGAAGCAACGCGAAGAACCUUACCUAGACUUGACAUCUCCUGAAUUACCCUUAACCGGGGAAGCCCUUCGGGGCAGGAAGACAGGUGGUGCAUGGUUGUCGUCAGCUCGUGUCGUGAGAUGUUGGGUUAAGUCCCGCAACGAGCGCAACCCUUAUUAUUAGUUGCUACCAUUAAGUUGAGCACUCUAGUAAGACUGCCCGGGUUAACCGGGAGGAAGGUGGGGAUGACGUCAAAUCAUCAUGCCCCUUAUGUCUAGGGCUACACACGUGCUACAAUGGUAGGUACAACAAGAUGCAAAGCCGUGAGGUGGAGCAAAACUGUAAAACCUAUCCCAGUUCGGAUUGAAGGCUGAAACUCGCCUUCAUGAAGCCGGAGUUGCUAGUAAUCGCG